rnacentral:tRNA from 1 species
CGGGGGGUAGCGUAAUUGGCUAUCGUGCAUGCCCUGGGAGCAUGAGAUUGUGGGUUCGAGUCCCGCCUCCCCGA